UCGACGGCAGCACGGGUGCUUGCACCUGGUGGCGAGUGGCGAACGGGUGAGUAAUGCGUCGGAACGUACCGAGUAAUGGGGGAUAACGCAGCGAAAGUUGUGCUAAUACCGCAUACGCCCUGAGGGGGAAAGUGGGGGACCGCAAGGCCUCACGUUAUUCGAGCGGCCGACGUCUGAUUAGCUAGUUGGUGGGGUAAAGGCCUACCAAGGCGACGAUCAGUAGCGGGUCUGAGAGGAUGAUCCGCCACACUGGGACUGAGACACGGCCCAGACUCCUACGGGAGGCAGCAGUGGGGAAUUUUGGACAAUGGGGGCAACCCUGAUCCAGCCAUUCCGCGUGAGUGAAGAAGGCCUUCGGGUUGUAAAGCUCUUUCAGCUGGAACGAAACGGUACGCGCUAACAUCGUGUGCUAAUGACGGUACCGGCAGAAGAAGCACCGGCUAACUACGUGCCAGCAGCCGCGGUAAUACGUAGGGUGCGAGCGUUAAUCGGAAUUACUGGGCGUAAAGCGUGCGCAGGCGGAUUGUUAAGCAAGACGUGAAAUCCCCGGGCUUAACCUGGGAAUGGCGUUUUGAACUGGCAGUCUAGAGUGCGUCAGAGGGGGGUGGAAUUCCACGUGUAGCAGUGAAAUGCGUAGAGAUGUGGAGGAACACCGAUGGCGAAGGCAGCCCCCUGGGAUGACACUGACGCUCAUGUACGAAAGCGUGGGUAGCAAACAGGAUUAGAUACCCUGGUAGUCCACGCCCUAAACGAUGUCAACUGGUUGUUGGGGGAGUGAAAUCCCUUAGUAACGAAGCUAACGCGU
rnacentral:rRNA from 1 species